UACUGCUCUUGUCAUCUUUUGGACAAUAUUAAUGUUAUGCUCAUUCUUCUUAUCCUCCAAUUGAAUAGGAAAUUCCUCUGUUGCCUUUUGAAUCUCAUCUUUUGAAACUUUAUGGGAUACUAUAUCAUGUAACUUAACAUUUGGGGAUGUCUUCUCUUUUUCCACUGAUUGCAUCUUGAUUCUUGCAUCUACAGGUGAUUUGUCACUAAGCUUGGCCCUGGUACUGCCAGAACCCUCAACUUGUGGAGUUAAGUUUGUACAUUUGUCUACAACCAUCUAAUCUGCUGCCUUUGACUACAACACUCCAUCUUCAGAAGCACUUUGCACAUCUGCGGGUUUAUCUGGAGGUUUAAACAAAGAUGCAUACUGGAUUUUGUUAGAAUAUGGUUCUAAAGGCUCUCCUAUCUGCUGCUGUGUAGAGAUCAAUUGCUGGUCAACCCCUCCGAUGGGCUGAUCAACGGCCGUCAUGACCAUGGUUGAAGGGUUGUAACCAAUUCAAUUCUUCUUCUUUUCUCCAAUUAUUUUAGUAAAAACCUCAAA